UACAUAUUAACUUCUCAAAAAUUCAAAUAUCAAAUUAAACUUCAGGUUGAACACUUUUUUAUCAUUCUGAUGUGUCAAUAGUGAAAUUUAAUGGUGAAAAAAAUCUGAAAUUUCAUUCCAUGGAAUUCAUAUGGUAAUUAAAGAUUCUUUAAAAAACAGUAUUGGGUAGUUAGGUUUUCCACAGUUUGAUAGUGUUAUUUAGUUUUCAUGAAUUCGUUUGUAUAUGCGGCUUAUUAGGUGUUUAAUUGGUGUUGAUUCAUUGAGCAAAACUGCAUUAUAAUGAAUUUUAGUUAUAGCUUGCGAGCGAUCGUCUUAGGUGUUUCUUAAUGAUUAUGCAUCUGUGAAGUCGUUUUUGAGCCAGCUGAAUAUGCACAUUAAGAGUACAAAAAAACUAGAAACUGGUAUUCUAAUACCAAAUAAUAGUUUAAUGUGCAUUUCUUACUGUUUUUAAUUUAUUCCCAAUCCUUAAUUUUAUUGUUGAAAUGACUUCUUUGAGCUAUAUAAUCAUGUUAAUAUCUCAUCUAUAACUACAUUUUUUCUAGAACUACCAUUUAGGUUAUUUUCUCUUUUGUACUAAAUUAUUUUUAGUUAUUAUUGUAAUUGCAGAAAAGUAAAAAAAUCCUUAAACAGUCAUGGACAAGCCUAGAAGUAAGAAAUGGAUGUAUUAUGAUAGAGUCAGUAAAGAAUAUUUGGAUGGAGUAGAGAACAUUCUAAACUAUGCCUUUCGUGAAAGAGAAACAAUUUCAUGUCCUUGUUCACAAUGUGUCCUAUACUAUCAAGUAAAUCGGGCAACUGCAUAUGAUCAUCUUGUGGUUAAUGGUGUUAUGCCAUCACAUGAUACUUUAUUUUGUCAUGGGGAGUCUCUAAAUGAAUCAAAUAGUACUCAUGUAAAUAAUUACAGACAAUUAACUAUAAGGGGUGAUGAUAUGAGAGGAAUGAUACAUGAUGCUUUACCCAGUCUAUGGAUAGUGAUAUUAGUGAAAGGGGUGAGAUGGAGCCAAACUCAGAAGAAAAUAAUACUAAUCCAUCUAUAAAUCAAUCUCAUCCAGAGGUGGAUAAGUUUGAACAACUCUUGAAGGAUUCAAAUGAAGAACUAUAUCCUGGAUGCAAGAAGUUUAAUAAACUGUCAUUUCUACAGCAUCUCUACAAUAUGAAACGGUCGUUCAAAUGGACAAAUGAAUCUUUUAAUGCUUUGUUUGGACUAUUAAAAGAUGCACUGCCUGAGGGUGAAAAGUUGCAUCCUUCUUUCUGUGAGACUAAAAAGAUACUUGAAGUGUUGGGCUUAAAGUACAAAAAAAUGCAUGCUUGUCCCAAUGAUUGCAUGCUUUUUAAGAAUGAAUUUGCCAGUAAGAAUGUUAAUAAAUGCUUAAUUUGUGGGGCUUCUAGAUGGAAAAAAUUGAUAGAAAAAUCUCAGCCAAAGUCCUAAGGUAUUUUCCUUUAAAACCAAGGUUACAAAGAUUAUUUAUGUCUUCAGAAACUUCUAAGAUUAUGCGGUGGCAUCAUGAAGAACGCAACAAAGAUGGAGUUUUACGACAUCCUGCAGAUUCUAAAGCUUGGAAAAGUUUCGAUAAUAAAUAUCCAAAAUUCGCUAGAGAUGCCCGUAAUAUUCGUCUAGGAUUAGCUUCUGAUGGAUUUAAUCCAUUUGGUACAAUGCGAACUGUUCAUAGUACAUGGCCAGUGAUUAUAAUGCCAUAUAAUCUCCCACCUUGGAUGUGCAUGAAAGAAGAGUUUUUUAUUUUUUCAUUACUUAUUCCUGGACCAAAAGGGCCUGGCAAUAACAUUGAUGUCUUUCUGGAACCUUUAAUAGAAGAGUUAAUCGAAUUAUGGGAUGUCGGGGUAGAAACAUAUGAUGCCUUUGCUAAGGAGACAUUUAAAAUGCGAGCAGCUCUCAUGUGGACUAUAAAUGAUUUUUUAGCAUAUGGUAAUCUCUCUGGAUGGUGCACUUAUAGUAAAUUUGCAUGCCCUUCUUGUAACAUAAACACUGAAUCUAGAAGACUCAAACAUGGAAAAUAAUUUGUUAUAUGGGCCAUCGACGUUUCUUGAAGCCUGGGCACAAAUAUCGAAAUGAUACAAAGUCGUUUGAUGGGACUAAAGAAUCAAGACCUGCACCUUAUCCAGUAUUUGGAUUACUAGUUCUAAAUCAAGUUAGAGAUAUAAAGUUCACUCUCAGUCAAUCAAGUGAAGAUGUAAGCGGGGUGAUGAAAAACACAUGGAAAAAGAGAAGUAUUUUUUUCAAUCUUCCUUAUUGGGAGUAUAACUUGGUGCAUCAUAAUCUUGAUGUGAUGCACAUAGAAAAGAAUGUAUGUGAUAACUUAAUUUAUACAUUAUUGGGUCUUGGUAAAAAGUCAAAAGAUAACGUAGAAGCUCGAUUGCACUUGAAGGAGAUGAAAAUAAGACCAAGCCUAUGGCCUCAAACUCGAGCUAGUGGGAGUACAUACCUUCCUGCUACUUUUUUCACAAUGUCUCCAACAGAAAAAGAGUUAUUUUAUGAAGUACUGCAAAACGCCAAGUUUCCACAUGGCCAUGCGUCUAAUAUCUCACGUUGCAUUCGCAAACGAAAAAUAUCGGGGCUAAAAUCUCAUGAUUGUCAUGUUAUAAUGCAAGAACUUCUUCCUCUUGCAUUGCGAAGGUCAACAGAUAAAAGAGUCAGUUCUGUUUUAAUUGAACUAUGCACAUUUUUUCGGGUUCUUUGUAGCAAAGUGCUUAAAAUAGAAGAGUUAGAGUUACUUGAAGAAAAAAUUGCAGUAACAUUGUCUAAUAUGGAAAAACUCUUCCUCCCGUCAUUCUUUACUAUUAUGGUACACUUGGUCAUUCACUUGGCAACUGAGGCUAAACUUGCGGGGCCAGCAUUAUCGUUGGAUGUACCCAAUUGAGAGAUACUUGUGUACUUUAAAAUCAUAUGUUCGUAAUCGUGCAAACCCAGAAGGUUCAAUAGCAGAAGCAUAUAUCGCAAAUAAGUGCAUGACAUUUUGCUCGCGAUAUUUGGAGGGUGGAGAUUUACGGUCUUAUUGGUAAAAACAAAAGUGAUGUUGAGAUUGAGCAUGAGACUAAUAGAGAAGGAUGUCUUUUCCCUACUGUUGGGGAGCCAUAUGGUCAAGUAGAUGUAUUUGAGUUGGAUGAGAAAACAUGGUUGCAAGCACAUCGACAUGUGCUUUUCAAUUGUGAAUCAGAUGUGGUUGAGAAUUACAAAAAGGAACAUAUUGCUGAAAUCAAGAGAUUACAUCGUAAGCGUCGUCUUAUACAACAUCAACUCGAUCGGUUGCAUUUUGAUACAUUUCAUGAGUGGUUCAAGGAAAAAGUGAAUGAGUUGGAUAUCCAAUAAAAUAUAUCAAAGGAUGUUAAGGUCCUUACGAAAGGGCCAAGUCGCAUUGCAAGAAGAUUCAAGGCGUUCAAUGUAAUUAAUGGAUAUCGAUUUCGAACGAAACAAAGUGAAGAGUUCAUGGUGACACAAAAUAGUGGUGUUAUGGUCGUUUCAAAAAUUGAAAGUUAUGCAAGUACUGUCACGACCCUAACCUCGGUCGUGAUGACGCCUAACACACUGCUAGGCAAGCCUGACCAACUAACAACCUCGUCCCAUUUCUUAUACAAUUCAUUAUUAGCUAACACAGUUAAAUUGCCAAUUUAUCAUAAUAAAAGUUUAGGACAACGAGUCAAAUAUGCGGAAAUUCAGAUGAUAAUACCACUACAUAACCCAUAUAGAUCUGGUGUCACAAGUUUCGAGCCUCUAGUACAAGUUUAAUAGCCUAAUACAUAAUCAGUUUAGGAAAUGCGGAUAAAACGAAAGGAUAGAAAGGAGAGAUCCGGGUUGCGGACGCCGUGCAGCUACCUCGAUGCUUUCGGAUAUGAACUGAUCGACUAAAUAUCCUCACUCAGCCUCUGGAACACCUGGAUCUGCACGCAAGGUGCAAGGUGUAAUGUGAGUACUCCGACCC